AGUGAACGCUGGCGGUAGGCCUAACACAUGCAAGUCGAACGGCAGCACAGGAAAGCUUGCUCUCUGGGUGGCGAGUGGCGGACGGGUGAGGAAUACAUCGGAAUCUACUUUUUCGUGGGGGAUAACGUAGGGAAACUUACGCUAAUACCGCAUACGACCUACAGGUGAAAGCAGGGGAUCUUCGGACCUUGCGCGAUUGAAUGAGCCGAUGUCGGAUUAGCUAGUUGGCGGGGUAAAGGCCCACCAAGGCGACGAUCCGUAGCUGGUCUGAGGGGAUGAUCAGCCACACUGGAACUGGGACACGGUCCAGACUCCUACGGGAGGCAGCAGUGGGGAAUAUUGGACAAUGGGCGAAAGCCUGAUCCAGCCAUACCGCGUGGGUGAAGAAGGCCUUCGGGUUGUAAAGCCCUUUUGUUGGGAAAGAAAUCCAGCUGGCUAAUACCCGGUUGGGAUGACGGUACCCAAAGAAUAAGCACCGGCUAACUUCGUGCCAGCCGCCGCGGUAA
rnacentral:rRNA from 1 species